rnacentral:misc_RNA from 1 species
UUUAUAAAGGCUGGUAAGACGCUGGGCUCACUGUCCUUCUAAAGGACAGUUAAGUUCAGUAGAACCUUGACAACUGCAUAUGUGAGUCUGGAAAGAAUUAAAGCAUCUAAAUAGAUCCAUAAAUUCUAUUGAUUCUAUCAAUUGAAUUUAUGUUCAAUUCUAAUAAUUAAGAGCCGAGAAAUUUAUUUGUUUAUUACUUCUAUAGAUGGAAAAUA